rnacentral:lncRNA from 1 species
GCUGAUUCCCAUAAAAUGGCUUCUAUUUUGAGAGCUUGAGAGACAAAAUAACAAAUAGGCCUCAGUUGUGUGUAGUUGAGGGAAAUCUUUUGCUCACAUGAGAGUUACAAGAACUUGUUGCCUUGAUCAUAGCCUUCUCGCUAACAAUGUGUCAAUGAUCUUGGUUCAUUGAUUAUUCAUGUUUAAUGCCAAUGUUUCUUGAGUAAACAUCAAACUUCAAGCUAAGCUAUAGUUCAUUUUAAAGCUACUACAUGGCAAUACAAAGAAGGACGUUUUGAUUAUAUUUUUAUUAUAAUAAUGAUGUGG